rnacentral:rRNA from 1 species
UACAGAGGGUGCGAGCGUUGUCCGGAAUCACUGGGCGUAAAGGGCGCGUAGGCGGCCUGAUAAGUAGGGGGGUGAAAUCCUGUGGCUCAACUGCAGGGCUGCCUCCUAGACUGUCGGGCUUGAGCACGGUAGAGGCAGAUGGAAUUCCCGGUGUAGCGGUGGAAUGCGUAGAGAUCGGGGAAGAACUCGGUGGCGAAGGCGGUCUGCUGGGCCGUUGCUGACGCUGAG